rnacentral:rRNA from 1 species
GACGAACGCUGGCGACGUGCUUAACACAUGCAAGUCGAACGGAAAGGCCCUGCUUUUGUGGGGUGCUCGAGUGGCGAACGGGUGAGUAACACGUGAGUAACCUGCCCUUGACUUUGGGAUAACUUCAGGAAACUGGGGCUAAUACCGGAUAGGAGCUCCUGCUGCAUGGUGGGGGUUGGAAAGUUUCGGCGGUUGGGGAUGGACUCGCGGCUUAUCAGCUUGUUGGUGGGGUAGUGGCUUACCAAGGCUUUGACGGGUAGCCGGCCUGAGAGGGUGACCGGCCACAUUGGGACUGAGAUACGGCCCAGACUCCUACGGGAGGCAGCAGUGGGGAAUAUUGCACAAUGGGCGGAAGCCUGAUGCAGCAACGCCGCGUGCGGGAUGACGGCCUUCGGGUUGUAAACCGCCUUCGCCUGUGACGAAGCGUGAGUGACGGUAAUGGGUAAAGAAGCACCGGCUAACUACGUG